CCCGACUGCUAUUUGGGUGAGGAUAAGCCAUGCGAGUUGAAUGGGAUACCUAAAUUUCCCAUGGCAAACUGCUCAGUAGCACAUGAUCAACUUACCCUAUAGAGAAAAAUAACCUCGGGAAACUGAGGAUAAUGUUUCAUAGUUGAAUAGGCUUGGAAAGGUUUUUCAAUAAAAGGGAUAAAAAAAAUGGUUUUUAUCUGCUAUAGGAUAGGAUCGUGGACGAUUAUGGUUGUUGGUGAGGUAACGGCUCACCAAGCCGAUAAUCGAUAGGGGCCGUGAGAGCGGGAGCCCCGAGAUGGGUACUGAGACAACGACCCAGGCCUUACGAGGCGCAGCAGGCGCGGGACCUCCGCAAUACACGAAAGUGUGACGGGGUUACCCAAAGUGUUCAAUUGAACUGUGGUAGGUGAGUAAUGUUCCCUACUAGAAAGGAGAGGGCAAGGCUGGUGCCAGCCGCCGCGGUAAAACCAGCUCUUCAAGUGGUCGGGAUAAUUAUUGGGCUUAAAGUGUCCGUAGCCGGUUUAGUAAGUUCCUGGUAAAAUCGGGUAGCUUAACUAUCUGCAUGCUAGGAAUACUGCUAUACUAGAGGACGGGAGAGGUCUGAGGUACUACAGGGGUAGGGGUGAAAUCUUAUAAUCCUUGUAGGACCACCAGUGGCGAAGGCGUCAGACUGGAACGUGCCUGACGGUGAGGGACGAAAGCCAGGGGAGCAAACCGGAUUAGAUACCCGGGUAGUCCUGGCCGUAAACGAUGCAUACUAGGUGAUGGCAUGGCCAUGAGCCGUGUCAGUGCCGUAGGGAAACCGUUAGGUGUGCCGCCUGGGAAGUACGGUCGCAAGGCUAAAACUUAAAGGAAUUGGCGGGGGAGCACCACAAGGGGUGAAGUCUGCGGUUC
rnacentral:rRNA from 1 species